UUCAAAGUUUUGAUGUGAGGGGUCCAUCAGGAGAAAGCAAUCUCUGCAGCAGUAUAACUCCCAUAUUGCCAACAUCACCGAAUCCCCUGGAUUCCAUGGGUGGUGUCAUGAUGCCACUGCUCUCUGACAUGAAGAAGAUGUCACCUCCACCACGACCACACAUCAUUUCCCCCCUCCUACAUCAUGGAGGGAAGAACUUACACAAUAGGAGGUUCUUGCCCAAUAAUUGUCCAGAUAUGUACAGAGUACGGGAUAUAUGUCAAGUUGACCAUGGAAACAAUGCAGGAUGAUGGAAGCAAUUAUGAGGAGUUCGAUGAAAAGCGACGCCGUCCAAGCGGAACUGUUUUCAGACUUGACGUUUCGCUCUAUCUGUGCAGUAUUGAUUCCAUGGCUCCAAGAUGACGACACGUUACUCACACAAAACUUUUUGCACUCAAAAGGAUUUCAAGAAUAUUGUUGUAAAGUAGCUUUCAAUCAUUUUACGAACAUGGCAUACCAAUUUAAGUUUUUUUUAAGGAAAAAAAACAUUUUCUAACGAAUAGACUGAUUAAUAUUUUGUAUCAAUAACAGUUCUUCAAGUUUUGUUACAAAAAAAGCAAUGUUGUGGUAUGCUUUUACUUAUACUGUUUAAUAAUAAUUUAUAACUAUUUUCAUCCGAAAAUGGUAAUUUUGCAACAAUUGCAGUUUUAAUUACUACGUCUGUAAAGAGAAAUGGAAUUUAGUGUUGAAAGUGUUUGGGUUGAUGUUUGUAUGUAAUGAUGAUAAAUUACUCUCAUUUUCAGUAAAAGCAAUGCGUCAUAAGCAAUAUUAUACAAUCAAACUUUUCGAGAAAUUACUUCAGUGAUACAACAAAUUAGUUUAUUCUAUUGUUAGUAAAUACCAAUGAGAUUAAUCUAAUGAAAAUUAAUGCAUGCAAAUAAUUUAAAAAAAUAAUAUUUGAACAUACAUAAAAAAGACUUUAAUUAUUUUGCAGGUUGUGCUAAUAUAGAAUCAUUCAUAAACUAUUUUAAAAAUAUUUAUAUGCUAAUAGCAAAAAUAGACUGCAUGAAGGGAAUGUGAAAAUAUGGUGAUUCAAAACCUUUUUUUAAAAAAACUGGGCAUUUUUGACAGACAUUUAACAAGUUUCAUGAAUUUUCACUAAAUAGCAGCAGAAUGCAUAAAAGCUAUUUUUCCUUAAUUAAUAAUAUAAACGCUUUGUUAAUACGUAUAAGAAUCUUAUUGGCUAAUUUGUACUAGUAUACUCUGCUAAAUAAUUUCAAAGUAUAUUAUUAUUAUAUUGCCCUAAGUAGAGGUAUUAACGACCAAAUUCUAUGAAAUUAAUAUGCUAUUAUUUUAAUCUUUUAAUAUUACUCACAACUUUAAGACAUUUUUUGUUAUGUUUAAGAAUGUAAUUAACUAAAUAUAAGGGAAUAAUUUGGUGGUACUUUAUGAGUUUAGCAAGGGAUGUUAGCGCUAUUUUAUGAGUUUAUCAAUAGGAAUAGAUAAUAAUACUCCAUUAAUUUGAAAUAAAAAUCAAUUCAAAUUCACAUUGAGAAAAAAGCACGAUCAAAACUACCGAAAUGAGAUAGAAUUUACCAGAUUUUUAGUUCUAUGAGAAUACUGAAACGCUCGGUAAUUUUUAACAAAGCACUUUAGUAAAUAUUAACUAUGAAAUAUGGUAUUAUAAAAUGUGAUACGAUUCGAUAAAUAAGGUAAAACUUGGUAAUUUUGCCAUCUUUUAGAGCAUGGCAUAAAAACCAUUUAUUCGGUUAAAUUUACUUUUCAGAUUUAUAUUUCUUACUAAACGUGUGGUAAUACGAACUAUAAUUUUGAAAACCAGGAUUUCCAGAUAGCCCAAUACCAUUUAAAUGGAAAAAUUACGAAAUGAAUAGUUUAAAUGCCUAUAAUCAUUCACAUUUUAUUUAUUACAUUUU